CCCUAAAGAUGGGGACAACGGCAUGGAAACAUGCGCUAAUACCCAAUGGACCUGUACUGUCGAAGGUAUAGGUAAAGCUUCGGCGCUUUAGGAGGGGCCUGCGGCCCAUCAGCUAGUUGGUAGGGCAACGGCCUACCAAGGCAAAGACGGGUAGGGGGUGUGAGAGCAUGACCCCCCACAAUGGGACUGAGACACGGCCCAUACUCCUACGGGAGGCAGCAGCAGGUAAUAUUGCACAAUGGACGGAAGUCUGAUGCAGCGACGCCGCGUGGAUGAUGAAGGCCCUCGGGUCGUAAAAUCCUUUUCAGGUGGAAGAGGAAGGACGGUACCCCUGGAAUAAGCGUCGGCUAACUACGUGCCAGCAGCCGCGGUAAGACGUAGGACGCAAGCGUUAUCCGGAUUUACUGGGCGUAAAGCGUCUGUAGGCGGUUGGGUAAGUUGGGCGUGAAAGCUCCGUGCUCAACGCGGAGAGGUCGUUCAAUACUGCCGAACUAGAGGACAUCAGAGGAGCAUGAAAUUUCCGGUGUAGCGGUAAAAUGCGCAGAUAUCGGAAGGAACACCAGUGGCGAAGGCGUGUCUUUGUGGUGUUCCUGACGCUGAGAGACGAUACCUAGCGAAGCGCUCAGUAUUACAGACCCUGGUAGUACUUGCCCUAAACGUUGGAUGCUAGAUGUAGUGUCGUGAAGCCUCCGUUUCGCAAUUAACGCGGUAAGCAUCCCCCCUGCGAUGGUGAUGCUAAUGCUAAAACUCAAACGAAUUGACGUGGCCCGGCACAAGCAGUGGAACUUGUGGUUUAAUUCGAUGCUACUCGAAGAACCUUACCUGCUUUUGACAUGUAAGUGGUAGUGAAGCGACAGCGGAGCGACCCUUAGGGGAGCUUACACAGGUGCUGCAUGUCUGUCGUCAGCUCUUGCCGUUAGUUGUCGGUCUAAGUCCAAUAUCGAGCGCAACCCUUGCCCUUUUUUUCAAGUGUCUUACAGGACUCCC
rnacentral:rRNA from 1 species